rnacentral:tRNA from 1 species
GUGAUGGUGGUAUAGUGGUGAGAAUAGCUGCUUUCAAGCAGUUGACCUGGGUUAAAAUCCUGGCCAUCGCA